AACGAACGCUGGCGGCAGGCCUAACACAUGCAAGUCGAGCGCCCUUUCGGGGGAGCGGCGGACGGGUGAGUAACGCGUGGGAAUAUGCCCUUCUCUACGGAAUAGCCUCGGGAAACUGAGAGUAAUACCGUAUACGCCCUGUGGGGGAAAGAUUUAUCGGGGAAGGAUUAGCCCGCGUUGGAUUAGGUAGUUGGUAGGGUAAUGGCCUACCAAGCCGACGAUCCAUAGCUGGUUUGAGAGAUGAUCAGCCACACUGGGACUGAGACACGGCCCAGACUCCUACGGGAGGCAGCAGUGGGGAAUCUUAGACAAUGGGGGCAACCCUGAUCUAGCCAUGCCGCGUGAGUGAUGAAGGCCUUAGGGUUGUAAAGCUCUUUCAGCUGGGAAGAUAAUGACGGUACCAGCAGAAGAAGCCCCGGCUAACUCCGUG
rnacentral:rRNA from 1 species